GCUGAGAUGUCCGAGCGGUCUAAGGAGCUGGAUUCAAGUCGAAGCCGACUUCACCUAAUACUAAGUGAUUCCCAGUAGGGCAACCUGCGGGGGUUCGAAUCCCCCUCUCAGCA
rnacentral:tRNA from 1 species